UACAGCAGCUAUAUAACCCUGUAAGUCACAGCUGGCAGCCCCACUGGAGCUCAGCAGGUGUGAGCCUGCUCAGUACCUGGAUGGGAGACUCCUGGGAAAGCUGAGGUUGCUGCUGGAA
rnacentral:rRNA from 1 species